GUGCUAAUAAUAUGUGACUUGUUCAAUUUACACGUCCCUUGUGAAUUGAACGAGUCACAUACCUGUAUUAUUAGAACUGAUGAAGACGCGGGCUUACGGAUCGAAAGUUUUGCAGCAAUAAAUCUACGUGGUGUUUUCACAAACAAAAAUUAUUAUAGUUAUGUUUUCGCCAUGCAAUCCUACAGAGAACUUAAUUUUUCACUGGUUGCAUGCACAUGCAGAGGGCUCCAUUGCACUUAUCCAAAUCUGCAUGCAUGACCACAAAUCAGCCCUCUUUGCUUUGGCACAGGUAAGUGCAACGGGGGAGGGGGUUAUUGUUACCGUCAUUAAUGUUGCAGCAAGGUGAUAACAACUUGUUCAAGACUUGUAACAACAACUGUGAAGAAGUAGCGCGAACACAUCCUGAUAUCAACUUAACAACAGACUCGUUACAACUUGUUUGCAGAUCUGUAACAACUUGUGCGUUUUUACGUGUGCAGUCAGCAUCAUAAAAACAGUCCCGAAAAUGAAAAAUACUAUCAUAACUUACUUCUUUAGUCUUUGUCUAAGUUUCUUCAUCUGUUCAUUCUUAGUCUGCAGCAUUUGCUUCAUAUUUAUAUAUUGUGUCGUUUGAUUAAAUUUCUUCGUCAAUUCCUGCAAAGGAAACACUCGCCUUAGUGAGAUCUUCAAGCACUCUUUUAACGUAUACAAUACACAAAAUAAUUUGUUUUCAUAUGAGAAACGGCCUAGCCUGGCUAGGUGGGAUCUGAGUCAAAGCAGAUAAAAUUUUUCAUAGCAAGGCUUCAUCCCACCUGACCGGGAUAGAUAUUUUUGCCAAUUUUGAUCUAUAGUGCACGGGAAUUAAAGACAAAGUGGGAAAAUACAAAUAGACCCUAAACAGACAUUAGGGC